GAGCUCGUUAGAGGCAUAGCUUUGGCGGAGGGUGCCACGGAGGGAGACGACAUCGCGAGCAGUGUAAGGGCGGCGGGUAAGCUUGAACCUCUCGGUGUUCCACCAUGCUUGCACCUCGGCAACUUCCGCUUCAAAUCUGCUUUCUUCCGCCAUUAUCUGUAGUUAAACUCAUGUUAAUUAUACUUAUCAAGACUAUAUAGCAAUACAACAUUUGGCCUUGACUGGGCAAUAUAGCAGCAUCUUUGGAAUUUGCCGAUCAAUUAAUAUCUUUUUAGGAUGAAUUAUUGUUUCUUGGUCGACUUCUUAUUUUCUAGCCAACUCAACAGAGGAUGGAGAGUUCAAAGGCCAAGACCACAAAAUUAACUACAUUUAUCCCGAACCAAAAUUUUGACACCUUUAAUGACAAUCACAAGCAUAAAAUCUUAUCCAUGAGAAAAGAAGACAUGAGGCAGCAAUUUCAUAAGUAUAGUUUUGACUAAAUCCAGCAUAUAUAAACUCAUCAGAAAAGAAAAGCAUCGAGUGGUAGAGUGAUCGAUGGAAAUAUCAUAUUUUCAUUGUUAAAACUACAAACCUCCAAUUUUUCUGGGUGGUUCUCAUAGCAUGCAUAAGAAGGAUAGGAAACAAAUAAACAUGAACUUACAUUCCUCAUUAAACUAAUGAGACUCGUCAUAUUAUGAUCAUUAGAUACCUAUGUCUCUUUCCCUCCAUCAUGUCAAGUAAUAAAGGUUUGUCUAUAGUGCUCUUUUUCUUUGGUUUUACCCCAAAAGAAUAAAUACAGAAGAGCACAGAGGCUUGAUGAAGAUAUCUUCUGCUAGAUGCAAGUAAAGAAAAAUGGGAAGGAAGGAGAUUAUGGAAGAGGUUUCGAAGCAGGCAUGAGAACUGACCAUUGAAGGCACUGAAAAGGAUGAAGCCAUGGGAGAAUUCUUGAGAGAUA
rnacentral:lncRNA from 1 species